UUCAUGUGCAAGUUGUCAAAGGAAAGAGGAUUAAGCCUUUUCAGACAAGCAGAGCACACAUGUGAAUAUUAGACCAAAGAGUCAAUUCAGAUUCCACCAGGACCUGGACGUUAUGUCAUCUUGAGCAAUAUCUCAAGUUAAAGGAGUUAACAAUGCUUCCAUUUACUUUGCAAGUUUCAACCUCCGAGGUGUCACAAUCAUGUUAUCUGCGCCCUGCCUGGGCGUUGUCUGGCCGUCAUGACCUUGCCAAUUCAUUGGUCACAAUUGUUGACCUGUUCUCAACUGUGUUUCAAAUGAAGUCCCCAAGGAGUAUUUCAAGUGGUCAAAAGACAGCCCCACUUGACAGAGGAUAUUCCAGGAACGUCAAGGAGACUGGAGAGCUCCAGGGUUGAUAUUAGAUGGGGAAAUUAACUCUGAGACUCCUGGCCAACCACUGUGGAUUAACAUCUUCCCGUGGAGUGGAUUGGUCCAUUUGUUAUCUUCCUCUUCGGUGUGAAUGGUGUGGCAGGAAUAUCCGUAGGCUUGAAGAAUCUGAAGUCAAGUGGCAGAAUUAUUCAUGAAGAAAUAUUAAUUAAGACAGAUUUUCAUAAUAUGUCAUAUUCGACAGUACAGACAUACAAUGAAGCUGCGACAUCAAUAUUGACGUGCAUCAAACUGAUGUGUUUUGUGCUGAACUCCUUCUAAAAACACAAUGGCAUUUAAACCUGAAUGAUGCCAUUGUUUUCUUUGAUUAUCUCAUUUGUAAAUGGUCAGAAUGACUAAAUUUGAUGAAUGUG